GCCAGCAUGGUGUAGUGGUUUGAGUGUUGGACUAUAUCUCUGGAGGCCAGGGAUCAAAUCCCAGCUUGGCC
rnacentral:tRNA from 1 species